rnacentral:lncRNA from 1 species
AGAAAUAUUAAUUAGAGAAGAGGUUUUCCUUCGAGGGCACCCCUCAGUCUCUAUGAUAAUUUCUUCAUGUCCUCCAGGGGCCAGGGGGGCCUCGCUUAUAUAGUCCUCCCCUUCUAUGCGUUUUUGGGUCAAUAGCCGAGGUGGUACUAUGUUUUUCUUGAUCCAAUAGGUCGGUGGAAUAUCCCGAGCGAAGGAGUCCUGAAUUGGCUCCAGCAGGGGGGCGGGCGCCCUGGGCCUGGCCCAGCUUUGCCUCCGCUUCGGUCUCGUGGCUUCUGGAGUCUUCUAGAUGAUGUAAAAUUACGCGGUGCGUUGAUAUCUCUAUAUAAUCCCGACAUGUGGGCCUUUCUUCCUUAUUUCCUGAUAACCCCCUGCAGAAAUAGAUAAACAACAAAACUCGUGGAAUUCUGUCAGAUCAAACCCUAAUUCUAGGUGAUGGUUGCAUAUUGGUCCUUUCUCUUGUUUAUUUGAUAAUUAAAAUUGAUACUUAAGAACCGUCAACAAAUACCCCCAUACUUAGGCUUUUACUCAUCCUCGAGAAAAGGAUGGUUGAGAAUAAUAUCUGGGGUAAACAUUUAAAACAUUCUCUUUAUAAUUGCAUGGUGUCAAAAAUUCCACUGUGUACCAUAGUCAUGGAAGUAUAUGGUUAAGAGUAAAGAUCCUUUCUUCUCAAUCCUGUCACUUGGAGUUUUUGUAUAUUUUUGAAAGAAAGUUAGCAUACCUUUUUAUCCUCAUAAGUUCUCUCAGAUCACUCAUUAUCUUUUAUAUAUAUCUCACUGAGGCUGUUUUAUUUUGCAAAAAUUCUUAAGCAUACUUACUUUGCAUUUAUUGCCUGAUCAAAACGGGAUCCAAGGAGGGGAAUGUCAUACUCUUAGAUCAAAGACUUUGAAAAUUAAAAACUUGUCAUCUCUUGCUGGCAUAUUGCUUAUUAGAGGGACCAUGGGCUAU